AGUGAACGCUGGCGGUAGGCCUAACACAUGCAAGUCGAACGGCAGCACAGUAAGAGCUUGCUCUUACGGGUGGCGAGUGGCGGACGGGUGAGGAAUACAUCGGAAUCUACUUUUUCGUGGGGGAUAACGUAGGGAAACUUACGCUAAUACCGCAUACGACCUACGGGUGAAAGCAGGGGAUCUUCGGACCUUGCGCGAUUGAAUGAGCCGAUGUCGGAUUAGCUAGUUGGCGGGGUAAAGGCCCACCAAGGCGACGAUCCGUAGCUGGUCUGAGAGGAUGAUCAGCCACACGGGAUCUGAGACACGGUCCAGACUCCUACGGGAGGCAGCAGUGGGGAAUAUUGGGCAAUGGGCGAAAGCCUGAUCCAGCCAUACCGCGUGAGUGAAGAAGGCCUUCGGGUUGUAAAGCCCUUUUGUUGGGAAAGAAAAACAGCAGGUUAAUACCCCGCUGUUCUGACGGUACCCAAAGAAUAAGCACCGGCUAACUUCGUG
rnacentral:rRNA from 1 species